AACGAACGCUGGCGGCAGGCUUAACACAUGCAAGUCGAACGCCCCGCAAGGGGAGUGGCAGACGGGUGAGUAACGCGUGGGAAUCUACCUAGUUCUACGGAACAACACAGGGAAACUUGUGCUAAUACCGUAUACGCCCUAAGGGGGAAAGAUUUAUCGGAAUUAGAUGAGCCCGCGUAAGAUUAGCUAGUUGGUGGGGUAAUGGCCUACCAAGGCGACGAUCUUUAGCUGGUCUGAGAGGAUGAUCAGCCACACUGGGACUGAGACACGGCCCAGACUCCUACGGGAGGCAGCAGUGGGGAAUAUUGGACAAUGGGCGAAAGCCUGAUCCAGCCAUGCCGCGUGAGUGACGAAGGCCUUAGGGUUGUAAAGCUCUUUCAGUAGGGAAGAUAAUGACGGUACCUACAGAAGAAGCCCCGGCUAACUUCGUGCCAGCCGCCGCGGUAA
rnacentral:rRNA from 1 species